rnacentral:rRNA from 1 species
UAGGGAAUCUUCCACAAUGGACGCAAGUCUGAUGGAGCAACGCCGCGUGAGUGAAGAAGGUUUUCGGACCGUAAAGCUCUGUUGUUGGUGAAGAAGGAUAGAGGUAGUAACUGGCCUUUAUUUGACGGUAAUCAACCAGAAAGUCACGGCUAACUACGUGCCAGCAGCCGCGGUAAUACGUAGGUGGCAAGCGUUGUCCGGAUUUAUUGGGCGUAAAGCGAGCGCAGGCGGAAGAAUAAGUCUGAUGUGAAGGCCCUCGGCUUAACCGAGGAAUUGCAUCGGAAACUGUUUUCUUGAGUGCAGAAGAGGAGAGUAGAACUCCAUGUGUAGCGGUGGAAUGCGUAGAUAUAUGGAAGAAUACCAGUGGCGAAGGCGGCUCUCUGGUCUGCAACUGACGCUGAGGCUCGAAAGCAUGGUAGCGAACAGGAUUAGAUACCCUGGUAGUCCAUGCCGUAAACGAUGAGUGCUAAGUGUUGGGAGGCUUCCGCCUCUCAGUGCUGCAGCUAACGCAUUAAGCACUCCGCCUGGGG